rnacentral:rRNA from 1 species
GGGUUGUGAGGUUAAGCGAAUAAGCGUACACGGUGGAUGCCUAGGCAAUCAGAGGCGAUGAAGGACGUGCUAAUCUGCGAUAAGCGUCGGUAAGGUGAUAUGAACCGUUAUACCCGACGAUUUCCGAAUGGGGAAACCCAAUAUCCAAUGGAUAUUAUCAUGACGUGAAUACAUAGCGUCAUGAAGCGAACCGGGAGAACUGAAACAUCUCAGUACCCCGAGGAAAAGAAAUCAACCGAGAUUCCCCUAGUAGCGGCGAGCGAACGGGGAACAGCCCAGAGUCUUAAUCAAUAGCAGCAUCAGGAGAACGGUCUGGAAAGUCCGGCAGUAAAGGGUGAUAGCCCCGUAUCUGAAGAUGCUGUUAUUGUGAACUCGACGAGUAGGGCGGGACACGUGUUAUCCUGUCUGAAUAUGGGGGAAUCAUCCUCCAAGGCUAAAUACUCCUGAUUGACCGAUAGUGAACCAGUACCGUGAGGGAAAGGCGAAAAGAACCCCGGCGAGGGGAGUGAAAUAGAACCUGAAACCGUGUACGUACAAGCAGUAGGAGCCUCUUUAUGGGGUGACUGCGUACCUUUUGUAUAAUGGGUCAGCGACUUAUAUUCUGUAGCAAGGUUAACCGUAUAGGGGAGCCGUAGGGAAACCGAGUCUUAACUGGGCGAAUGAGUUGCAGGGUAUAGACCCGAAACCCGGUGAUCUAUCCAUGGGCAGGUUGAAGGUUGGGUAACACUAACUGGAGGGAUCGAACCGACUAAUGUUGAAAAAUUAGCGGAUGACUUGUGGAUGGGGGUGAAAGGCCAAUCAAACCGGGAGAUAGCUGGUUCUCCCCGAAAGCUAUUUAGGUAGCGCCUCGUGAAUUCAUCUUCGGGGGUAGAGCACUGUUUCGACUAGGGGGUCAUCCCGACUUACCAACUCGAUGCAAACUGCGAAUACCGAAGAAUGUUAUCACGGGAGACACACGGCGGGUGCUAACGUCCGUCGUGAAGAGGGAAACAACCCAGACCGCCAGCUAAGGUCCCAAAGUCAUGGUUAAGUGGGAAACGAAGUGGGAAGGCUCAGACAGCCAGGAUGUUGGCUUAGAAGCAGCCAUCAUUUAAAGAAAGCGUAAUAGCUCACUGGUCGAGUCGGCUCGCGCGGAAGAUGUAACGGGGCUAAACCAUGCACCGAAGCUGCGGCAGCGACACUAUGUGUUGUUGGGUAGGGGAGCGUUCUGUAAGCCUGCGAAGGUGUACUGUGAGGUAUGCUGGAGGUAUCAGAAGUGCGAAUGCUGACAUAAGUAACGAUAAUGCGGGUGAAAAACCCGCACGCCGGAAGACCAAGGGUUCCUGUCCAACGUUAAUCGGGGCAGGGUGAGUCGACCCCUAAGGCGAGGCUGAAAAGCGUAGUCGAUGGGAAACGGGUUAAUAUUCCCGUACUGGUGGUAACUGCGAUGGGGGAACGGAGAAGGCUAGGUUGUCCGGGCGACGGUCGUCCCGGUUCAAGCAUGUAGGCAGAGUGAUUAGGCAAAUCCGGUCACUUAAUGCUGAGGUGUGAUGACGAGCCACUAAGGUGGUGAAGCAAUUGAUGCCCUGCUUCCAGGAAAAGCCUCUAAGCUUCAGGUUACCAACAAUCGUACCCCAAACCGACACAGGUGGUCAGGUAGAGAAUACUCAGGCGCUUGAGAGAACUCGGGUGAAGGAACUAGGCAAAAUGGUGCCGUAACUUCGGGAGAAGGCACGCUGGCGGUAAGUGAAGUCCCUCGCGGACGGAGCCGAAGCCAGUCGAAGAUACCAGCUGGCUGCAACUGUUUAUUAAAAACACAGCACUGUGCAAACACGAAAGUGGACGUAUACGGUGUGACGCCUGCCCGGUGCUGGAAGGUUAAUUGAUGGGGUUAUCCUUAGGGAGAAGCUCUUGAUCGAAGCCCCAGUAAACGGCGGCCGUAACUAUAACGUCCUAAGGUAGCGAAAUUCCUUGUCGGGUAAGUUCCGACCUGCACGAAUGGCGUAAUGAUGGCCAGGCUGUCUCCACCCGAGACUCAGUGAAAUUGAACUCGCUGUGAAGAUGCAGUGUACCCGCGGCAAGACGGAAAGACCCCGUGAACCUUUACUAUAAGCUUGACACUGAACAUUGAGCCUUGAUGUGUAGGAUAGGUGGGAGACUUAGAAGUGUGGACGCCAGUCUGCAUGGAGUCAACCUUGAAAUACCACCCUUUAACGUUUGAUGUUCUAACCUAGGCUCGUAAUCCGGGUCGUAAUCGUGUCUGGUGGGUAGUUUGACUGGGGCGGUCUCCUCCUAAAGAGUAACGGAGGAGCACGAAGGUUGGCUAAGCAUGGUCGGACAUCAUGCGGUUAGUGCAAAGGCAUAAGCCAGCUUGACUGUGAGAGUGACGGCUCGAGCAGGUACGAAAGUAGGUCUUAGUGAUCCGGUGGUUCUGAAUGGAAGGCCAUCGCUCAACGGAUAAAAGGUACUCCGGGGAUAACAGGCUGAUACCGCCCAAGAGUUCAUAUCGACGGCGGUGUUUGGCACCUCGAUGUCGGCUCAUCACAUCCUGGGGCUGAAGUAGGUCCCAAGGGUAUGGCUGUUCGCCAUUUAAAGUGGUACGCGAGCUGGGUUUAGAACGUCGUGAGACAGUUCGGUCCCUAUCUGCCGUGGGCGUUGGAAGAUUGAGAGGGGUUGCUCCUAGUACGAGAGGUGACCGGAGUGAACGCACCACUGGUGUUCGGGUUGUCAUGCCAAUGGCAUUGCCCGGUAGCUAAGUGCGGAAGAGAUAACCGCUGAAAGCAUCUAAGCGGGAAACUUGCCUCGAGAUGAGUCUUCCCUGUCACCUAGAGUGACCUAAAGGAACGUUUAAGACUAAGACGUUGAUAGGCUGGGUGUGUAAGCGUAGCGAUACGUUGAGCUAACCAGUACUAAUGAACCGUGAGGCUUAACCUGACAACACCGAAGGUGUUU